GUUGUUGUUUUUUAGGGCACACGGUGGAUGCCUGGGCACAUUGAGCCGAUGAAGGACGUGAGAGGCUGCGUUAUGCCUCGGGGAGUUGCCAACUAAGCGUUGAUCCGAGGAUGUCCGAAUGGGGAAACCUGGCCAUAGUUAUGUGUGGUUACCUGGCACUGAAUUCAUAGGUGUCAUGGGGGUUACGCGGGGAAGUGAAACAUCUCAGUACCCGUAGGAGAAGAAAACAAUUGUGAUUCUGCUAGUAGUGGCGAACGAACGUGGAUGAGGCUAAACCUUGUGUGUGUGAUACCCGGCAGGGGUUGCACAUGAGGUGUUGUGGGAGCAUGUUGUGGUGGGUCUGCCGGUCUGCCGCGAAACAAUUACUGUUAGUCGAACUGGGUUGGAAUGCCUGACCGUAGUAGGUGAGAGUCCUGUAGGUGAAGAUGGUGGUUGUUUUGUUGAUGUGUUUCCCGAGUAGCAGCGGGCUCGUGGAAUCUGCUGUGAAUCUGCCGGGACCACCCGGUAAGCCUAAAUACUUGAUGUGACCGAUAGUGUAUUUAGUACCGUGAGGGAAUGGUGAAAAGUACCCCGGGAGGGGAGUGAAAUAGUACCUGAAACCGUGUGCUUACAAUCCGUCAGAGCCUUAACUUUGUUGGGGUGAUGGCGUGCCUUUUGAAGAAUGAG
rnacentral:rRNA from 1 species